rnacentral:rRNA from 1 species
GUACACGAGCGGCGAACGGGUGAGUAACACGUGGGUGAUCUGCCUUGCACUCUGGGAUAAGCCUGGGAAACUGGGUCUAAUACCGGAUAUGACUUCCAGUUGCAUGACUGGGGGUGGAAAGAUUUAUCGGUGCAAGAUGAGCCCGCGGCCUAUCAGCUUGUUGGUGGGGUAAUAGCCUACCAAGGCGACGACGGGUAGCCGGCCUGAGAGGGCGAUCGGCCACACUGGGACUGAGACACGGCCCAGACUCCUACGGGAGGCAGCAGUGGGGAAUAUUGCACAAUGGGCGAAAGCCUGAUGCAGCGACGCCGCGUGAGGGAUGACGGCCUUCGGGUUGUAAACCUCUUUCGACUCCGACGAAGCGAAAGUGACGGUAGGAGUAUAAGAAGCACCGGCCAACUACGUGCCAGCAGCCGCGGUAAUACGUAGGGUGCGAGCGUUGUCCGGAAUUACUGGGCGUAAAGAGCUUGUAGGCGGUCUGUCGCGUCAUCUGUGAAAACUUGGGGCUCAACCUUAAGCUUGCAGGCGAUACGGGCAGACUAGAGUACUUCAGGGGAGACUGGAAUUCCUGGUGUAGCGGUGAAAUGCGCAGAUAUCAGGAGGAACACCGGUGGCGAAGGCGGGUCUCUGGGAAGUAACUGACGCUGAGAAGCGAAAGCAUGGGUAGCGAACAGGAUUAGAUACCCUGGUAGUCCAUGCCGUAAACGGUGGGUACUAGGUGUG